AGGAAUAGGAAGGACUUGAAGCCAUCAAACUCUGAUCUGCAGCUCUCAAGCUGGCUGCAAUCCACAGGAUCUGAGGUGACGAACCUAAGGCGAUAGCUAUUGGCAACCUGUGGUCUGCUUUGGUCCACUGCAUGGAAGUGAAGAAAGGAGGAGAGGAAAGGAGAAGAAGAAGGAAGUUUAGAGAGUUAAGGUUUGGAGUUUGAGUUUCUACAAUCUACCUACUUUCACCCACUCAAGAUGCUGAUGGCUGCGAGCGGUGAGAUACCCAAACCCACACUAGUGGUUCAUGAUAGAUGGAUGCCUGAGGUCGAGAAGCAUCACCCCGAUUACACAUGUGAUGACUAUGCGUGCAAAGUACCUU